ACUCAAAUGAAUUGACGGGGGCCCGCACAAGCGGUGGAGCAUGUGGUUUAAUUCGACGCAACGCGAAAAACCUUACCCAGGCUUGACAUCCAGAGGAAGACUGCAGAAACGUAGUCGCCGGGGCAACUCGGCUUUUGGACAGGUGCUGCAUGGUUGUCGUCAGCUCGUGCCGUGAGGUGUUAGGUUAAGUCCUGCAACGAGCGCAACCCUCAUCUUUAGUUGCUAACGGGUUAUGCCGAGCACUCUAAAGAAACUGUCGCUGAUAAGGCGGAGGAAGGUGGGGAUGACGUCAAAUCAGCAUGGCCCUUACGUCUGGGGCUACACACGUGCUACAAUGGGUGGUACAGCGGGAAGCGAGAGAGCAAUCUGGAGCAAAUCCCUUAAAACCAUCCUCAGUUCGGAUCGUGGGCUGCAACCUGCCCACGUGAAGUCGGAAUCGCUAGUAACCGCAGAUCAGCAACGCUGCGGUGAAUACGUUCCCGGGCCUUGUACACACCGCCCGU
rnacentral:rRNA from 1 species